GAGGUUGUAGCUCACUGGUUGAGUGCUUGCCUUGCAUGCAUGAGGCACUAGGUUCAAUCCUCAGUAUCA
rnacentral:tRNA from 1 species